UGGAGGUUCAGUGUCCCUCUUA
rnacentral:siRNA from 1 species